GAAACUACAUCAGCAUUCUUAUUUAUCUUUUACUUGGUUGCUCCGUCGUAAUGUCGUUUAUUCCAUUCUCCAGCCAUCUUUCUAUGAAUUUUUUAGUGAUUGAUUUUAAACUUGGCUGAAGUGCAAGAAUUAUGCUUGAAAUUGGUUUGGCCGCUGCGUAUUAAAGUGGUAUAAACACGUCCUACUCCAACACUGGUGAGAAUCCAAUUCAUCAUUUACUCAGUGAGUUCAUACAUCUGUCUCUAGAUUCUAGAAUGUUCUCCUCUCUAAUUCUCACUUUAUAUAUUUCAAAAACUGAUCCACAUUUAUCUAUUGCCACUUAAUGAGUUACUAUUACUUAAUUCGAUUUGUUACGUAAUAAUCGAAUCAAAGCAAAUUUUGAUUUACCAUGCAUUAUGGUUUUCGAAAAUCUUGGUUUUUAAGCUAGCUUCUAUUCGUGAUUAAUUAAUUAGUGUGAUCGUACCUUGAAAGAGAAUAUUAUUUUGGUUUCGUAUUCUGUAAUUUUAUGGCAAAAUUGACUUUUCAAAUUUUAGCAGUAAAUUUCUUUGAUUUUAUACUUUACCCAAAAAGCUGAGGGUAUGCGUAUUUAUUUGGUUUGGAAUUUCUGAAUGAUUUCUGAAAAAUCGAAUUGAAGAACCAUACCAGCAGCCUUUACCAUGCAGUUGAUUAGGAAGACACGACACAUGAUGUAGGUAGUUCAUUUAUUUUAUCUUUUAAUCAAGGAAUGGAGUUUGAAAUUAGGAUUUUCAGACAAUUGCAAGGUCUCUAAAUGCACAAUAGAUUUUUUGUUCAGUUCUAAGUUCUAACUAACUGGGCGCGCAAGAAUGCCAGACUCCAUGGGAGAAGCCAUUGUCAUCUAAUGGAAUGAAAAAAAACUUUCUUCCAUAUAUUGACUUGGUGCUUACUAAGUUUUUUAAUCUUUUGAAUUGUCUAAAGAUGUGUCCUUUUUUUUUAUUGCCUCACAAGUUCUUCUUUUUCAUUUUAUGACAUUUCAUAUAGAAAUUUCCGUGUCUAACUUUCAACGAAUUAUGAUUUUACUAUUUUAAAGAAGCCAACUAAACUACCAUAACUUUUGUUCUGAUACUAAUUUGGGGAUCUAUUCCACCAUAAAAAAGCAGCUCGGUGGUCUAAACUCCCGCUACACGCGAGGUACGGGAAAAGACCGGAUUACUAGGGUGUAUAUAUCGUACGCAGCCUUACACCUGCAUGACGUAUUAAUAUUUAUGUUUCGACGUACUUUUAGUCUCAUUGUUAAACGUUUUCCUUUAGUCCAUUUCUUCUGCUCAUCUAUUUUUUUUUUCUCUUAAUUCUAUUCAUGAUUAGCAAUUUCUGUUCCCAACUUCUCAUAUUUAAGGAAUUCUUGCUUCAUGGUUCUUCUUCACUCUCUAUUGAAUUCAGGGGUGUGGGGGAUCAGUAGUUUGGUAAGUCUAUUUAGUGUAUGAAGAGUGAUAUGUGUUAUACUUUUAAGGUCCUCAUGUUAGAAGAUUUGAAGUGUGGAAUGAUGUUAAAAUAUGUUAUAUUCAUUAUGUUAUAUCAUCUAUCAAGGAGGUUUAUUAUUUGUUUAAUAAUAUAUAGAGCUGUGUCCUAAAUUAUACAUGAAAUAAAUAUGGUCAUGGAUUAGAAUAUACUAGUUAGUAGAUUCUUGGAUUUUCUUUAAGGACGACUCAAGAAUGUGGUUUCACCUCUCCGCUAACUGUAGGCAGUGGCGAAGUCAGGAAAUUCAAUAAGGAUAUUCAAACCUUUGCCAGUGGGCUAUGUAAGGAUGUUCAAAGUCUAUUUUUAAUCAAUAACAAGUAAUAUUUUACCUUAUGCGUAGUAUAAUUUUCCGGCGAUGCUUCGCCCCUGGCUGCAGGUGAUCAUGAUCAGAGAGCGCUUUGGCUUGCCAGAGAGUAAGGUUGGCAAAUUAUUUAAAUAGCAAAAGAAUGUAAACAAUGAGAACUGGUUAUCUACUGAUGACAUUUGAUAUCAAAAUACAGAACUCGAUUAUCAGAGAGUAAGGUUGGCGGUUCUUACCAGUGUAUGAAUCGUAUAGAGUUAUUUAUAUUUUUGUGAACUGGGGAAGUGAAGUGUGUCUUCGUGAUUCUUUUAGACAUUACUAGAAGAUUCUUUCACUUCAAUUAUUUAUCGACCUUAAUUGCAUUUGAUAUUUUGUUAACUUGUGUCACAUUAUACGUACUCAAAUGGUUUUUAAAUGAAUAUAAUCAACUUGCACAGCGUCUUGAGUUAUUAAUGUAAAGCUCUAUGUGGGAAUAUUUUAUAAUAUUUGAUACGAAAUUGUUAUGGGUCAUUAGAUUCAAUAAUAUGUUAAUUCACUUAAUAUCUUGAACAAUGAGAUGAAGAAAAAUUACUCUCAGAAAUGCUAAGUUCUUAGCUAUCUGUUGACUCUUGUAUGUCAUUUCUUUAGUUCUUUUUUUCUGCAGUACAUAUUUCACAGCUUCUUUGGAUUUUACAAAUAUUUUAUUAGCCUCUUAACAUUUCAUUUUAUUUCUUCAUUCUUAUAUAUUUGGACUAAUGUUGCAUCUUCACUUAACAAAGUUAAAUUCCAUCCUACAUACAGAUUGCUGGAAAAGAAAAGAUGCAUUCAGUGAAUGAAGUACCAAUAACUGAGAUGGUCCAGUAGCAUCAUUAUGACAGUAUUGCUCAAAGAAAGAUUAGGGGUUAUGAGUUGUCCAAAUAUUUAUGUUUCAUUAAGUUCCAAGCAUGAGUCUUACUUAUGAUUUAGUACCGAGUUCUGGAAUUUUGCUAGAAAUGCAUGUCGUAGAGAGGGAAGAGCAAGUGUAACUUAGAGGCGGAGAAUGAUGAUAUGAUAGCCAAUGGGGUCUACGGUUGAUCAAUCGACUACAUAUUUCCUUUGCUAUUCUAGGGAUUAUGCAUCCGUAUGAAGGAAUCAAAUCAAUUACUAUAAUACAUUAUGAUAUAAACCAUCAUAUUUAUCGGGAAAAGUUUGAUGUUAAAGUUUCAG
rnacentral:lncRNA from 1 species